rnacentral:lncRNA from 1 species
GGAACACGAAACACUGAAUACAGAAUCAUAACAGGAAUACACCCCCACCAAUUAAUUCCCUACACUAGCGACCCGAACUGGCCCUAAUCCUCUGCCGUAAUUCGCAUCUUCCAUACCUUCCUAUCUAGGGUCAUGUCCUCGGUGAGCUGUAACUGUUCCAUGUCCCGCCUAAUCACCUCACCCCAGUACUUCUUCGGUCUACCCCUACCCCGUCUAAAACCAUCCAACGCUAGCCUCUCACACCUACGGACCGGGGCAUCCAUGCCCCUCCUCUUCACGUGUCCGAACCAUCUCAAUCGUGCUUCCCGCAUCUUACACUCCACUGAAGUCACACCAACCUUCUCCCGGAUAGUCUCAUUCCGAACUCUAUCCCC